rnacentral:lncRNA from 1 species
GGGACUUGCAUGUCAAUUUCCCCCCUAAUUAGUAGUGGCCGGCCAUGACAAGUAUGGUAGACCAAGUGUGAUGGGCAAGAACAUGUCAUAAACAUGUUAAGUUAGUGUUUCAUGGGAAGUAUGAUAAAAUAAGGAGUAUGGGAUACAAAAUAUAUGCCUUUUAUAUUAAUAAAUUAAAUGUUAAAUGAAUAAAUAAUAUGAAAUAUGAACUUAUAUUAAAAGAAAUGGGUGAUAAAAACAAAGUUGGUUCAUC